rfam:Cricetulus griseus cell line CHO-K1, whole genome shotgun sequence.
UCAGGGUGGUGGCACCUGGGGGCAACCCCAUGGUGGUGGAUGG